UGGAAAACCUUACUCCAGAUGGCAGG
rnacentral:piRNA from 1 species